CAACACUGGAGUGGUUUGCCAUUUCUUUCUCAGUUAAAUGACUACAACUUAUGUAAAUUGUUUCUCAAAGUUACCAGGGAAAAUUUUUGGUAAGCUCAUGACUGUUCAACCUGAGACUGAAAACACAUAACGGGCAGCAGAUCACUUUUACGUGGCCAUGUCGUCACAAAAGGGCCGAUGAGCCCAAAAUGUUCUUAAACAUUCUGGGAAGCCCUUUCGUUUCGGAGCAGCAUAUGUGAAUUUGUAGGAAAAGAAUUUAUCUUCUGUUUUCAGAUAAGGCCCGAAACAAAGAGCUGCCUUGGGAGCGAUGCCGGCUGCGCGGGGGCAGUCGAGCGCUGCUCAUGCCCGGCCCUUCUGCCGCCCUCCGGAGUCCUGAGAACCGGCUGGUUCUGCUAAGGCAAGCUACAUGGAGUGACCAGUUUUAGUUGGCACCACUUUAUAGAAUCACAAGAUGUAAGAUUUGGAAGGAACUUCAGAGAUUCUCCUGUCCAAAUUCCCAGAGGAGGAAGCUGCGGCCCAGAGAGGACUUCUCCACUGUGGUGUCUAUUCCCACGGCUCAGCAAAGUGCUCCCUCCAGGAUAACCAGUAAUCUCUACAGUGUCCACUCUGUGGAGUAUUUCUGGGUCCUUAUCUUCCUGGAAUGUUCCUUGGAGGACCAUCUGAGAAUCAUUGUAUUGCACAUGAAAGAAAAACCCACUCAAAUUGUGGCAGACAAAACCGUUUGCCUUUCCACAGAAAGUCAGGAAAUAGAAAUUCUGACUUUUUCAGCUGCAUCCAAUUCUUUCUACAAGGAGUAAACAUGAAGUGUUCUCUGAACCCAGGGGAGGUAAGGCGCAAGCUAAGAGGCUGCAGGAAGACUCAGGAGCCGUAGGAACUGCGGAGGCAUUUCUUCUCUCCUGGCCGGCACGGCAGUCGCGGCAGCAGGCUCGCUCUCAUCCCUCCUCUCGUGGCUGAGCCAGCGGACACAGCCAUGAGCAGCAGGAAUGCCACUGCUCUUUAGGUGUGAGGACAAACUUCACAGAGUGCCGGGGUGGUGUGCUUACAGCCAUGGAUUCACUCCUAAAGGAUUCACAUGGAU